rnacentral:rRNA from 1 species
GACGAACGCUGGCGGCGUGCCUAAUACAUGCAAGUUGAGCGCUGAAGGUUGGUACUUGUACCAACUGGAUGAGCAGCGAACGGGUGAGUAACGCGUGGGGAAUCUGCCUUUGAGCGGGGGACAACAUCUGGAAACGAAUGCUAAUACCGCAUAAAAACUUUAAACACAAGUUUUAAGUUUGAAAGAUGCAAUUGCAUCACUCAAAGAUUAUCCCGCGUUGUAUUAGCUAGUUGGUGAGGUAAAGGCUCACCAAGGCGAUGAUACAUAGCCGACCUGAGAGGGUGAUCGGCCACAUUGGGACCGGGACACGGCCCAAACCCCCUAGGGGAGCAGCAGGAGGGAAUCCUCGGCAAUGGAGGAAAGGCUGGCCGAGCAACGCCGCGUGAGUGAAGAAGGUUUUCGGAUCGGAAAACUCUGUUGGUAGAGAAGAACGUUGGGGGGAGUGGAAGGCUCAUCAAGUGACGGUAACUACUCAGAAAGGGACGGCUAACUACGUG